rnacentral:rRNA from 1 species
GCAUAUCAAUAAGCGGAGGAAAAGAAACCAACAGGGAUUGCUCUAGUAACGGCGAGUGAAGCAGCAAUAGCUCAAAUUUGAAAUCUGGCGUCUUCGACGUCCGAGUUGUAAUUUGUAGAGGAUGCUUCUGAGUGGCCACCGACCUAAGUUCCUUGGAACAGGACGUCAUAGAGGGUGAGAAUCCCGUAUGCGGUCGGAAAGGCGCUCUAUACGUAGCUCCUUCGACGAGUCGAGUUGUUUGGGAAUGCAGCUCUAAAUGGGAGGUAAAUUUCUUCUAAAGCUAAAUAUUGGCCAGAGACCGAUAGCGCACAAGUAGAGUGAUCGAAAGAUGAAAAGCACUUUGGAAAGAGAGUUAAAAAGCACGUGAAAUUGUUAAAAGGGAAGGGAUUGCAACCAGACUUGCUCGCGGUGUUCCGCCGGUCUUCUGACCGGUCUACUCGCCGCGUUGCAGGCCAGCAUCGUCUGGUGCCGCUGGAUAAGACUUGAGGAAUGUAGCUCCCUCGGGAGUGUUAUAGCCUCUUGUGAUGCAGCGAGCGCCGGGCGAGGUCCGCGCUUCGGCUAGGAUGCUGGCGUAAUGGUCGUAAUCCGCCCGUCUUGAAACACGGACCAAGGAGUCUAACAUCUAUGCGAGUGUUCGGGUGUCAAACCCCUACGCGUAAUGAAAGUGAACGGAGGUGAGAACCGCAAGGUGCAUCAUCGACCGAUCCUGAUGUCUUCGGAUGGAUUUGAGUAAGAGCAUAGCUGUUGGGACCCGAAAGAUGGUGAACUAUGCCUGAAUAGGGUGAAGCCAGAGGAAACUCUGGUGGAGGCUCGCAGCGGUUCUGACGUGCAAAUCGAUCGUCAAAUUUGGGUAUAGGGGCGAAAGACUAAUCGAACCAUCUAGUAGCUGGUUCCUGCCGAU